rnacentral:rRNA from 1 species
UGAGGAAUAUUGGUCAAUGGACGCAAGUCUGAACCAGCCAAGUAGCGUGCAGGAUGACGGCCCUAUGGGUUGUAAACUGCUUUUAUGUGGGGAUAAAGUGCGUGACGUGUCAUGCAUUGCAGGUACCACAUGAAUAAGGACCGGCUAAUUCCGUGCCAGCAGCCGCGGUAAUACGGAAGGUUCGGGCGUUAUCCGGAUUUAUUGGGUUUAAAGGGAGCGUAGGCCGUUUGGUAAGCGUGUUGUGAAAUGUAGGAGCUCAACUUCUAGAUUGCAGCGCGAACUGUCAGACUUGAGUGCGCACAACGUAGGCGGAAUUCAUGGUGUAGCGGUGAAAUGCUUAGAUAUCAUGAAGAACUCCGAUUGCGAAGGCAGCUUACGGGAGCGCAACUGACGCUGAAGCUCGAAGGUGCGGGUAUCGAACAGG